rnacentral:ncRNA from 1 species
CAACCCGCGAGGCGCGGUCUGGAGGAAGCCGCUAGCAAAGCUGCGAGCUGAUGAACAUCAUAUGAGGCGUAGGCCGGAGGCGAGUUGGCACAAGACGACGAAGCCGCGUGAUCUGACGGCCACCGUAAAUGAUGCAGUUGUGCAGUGAAAGUUCAUGUU